GGGCCACAUACUCCCUCUCUGUCCUGGGGUCCACGGUCCUCAACCCUCCCUCAGCGUCUCCCCGGGACUCCAGCAGGCCCUGGGCGCCCCCUCCAGCCCCUCAGGCGCUGCUCCUCUGACCAAGUGCCCCGUCUCUCUGAGACCUGGAUGCAGAAGGCGGGAAAGGCCACCUAUGGUGAUGGCGCCCUGGGGCUCCCAGCACUGACCGCAGGGGCAUAUUCCUGCGGGGUCCCCUUCAUCCUCCUUCAGGGUCCUCAGCUUGAGCCCUGGCAGGUCCCUGGACCCUCCCUCUGUGGAGCUGAGGCCCUCACUCCCCUGAGACCCGUGGGGAAGUCUGUGGAGGUCACCUCAGGCCACUAAGCCCAGGGACUCCCAAGGCUGAGGGUAGAGGCCAGGAGGGACUCCCUGGGGUCCUAGGCUGCCAUCUGCUCCUUCCUCGACCCCCAGCAGUGCCUGGCCCCGCCUUUGCCCCUGACUCUUGUCCCACCCCCAGGCCCUCUCCAGCAGGCUCCUCUAAGGUGUGGGGUGGAGGCUAAGCCUAUCUGCUCCUAGUCCCUCGGGGUCUCUCAGGGCCGACGGCAGGGUCAGACCUGGACACCCUGCGCCCGGAGUUCACCCUCCCGGGGCUCACUGGGCACCUGGCUGGGCCUGGGCUCCUUCGCUCUGCCACCCUGAAUCCGGCCUGCAUCAGCGAGGCCGUCGCCUCCUUCAGACUCCAGAGGGUGAAGCCAGAAGAGGUGACAUCUGGAUACCAUGGCCAGGGGCCUCCCAGGGCCCAAGGUCAGGUGGCAUGGGGUAGACCACCACUGGGAGGUGCUGACAUGGCAAAGGUGACCAGGAAGCCAAAAGUUUCUAGCACAGUUAUGGAACAACUGACCCCAAGCAGCAAAAGGUGGAAGAAGAGGAAGAUGCCCUGUCAACCCACAUCCAGAGGCAGAGUCAAGGUGUCCAAGACAACCACAGGAGUAAAAAGACUCCUUCAAGUGUGUUCAAGAAAAAAAAAACCUCUCCAAAAACUACAACCCUUUCAAGGAAACUUAAGAAAGCUAGAAAACCAACACUAUUUGGUUACUAUCACAGGCUGAAUGAAGAACUGAAUAAAGUGAGCCAGAGCAGGACCCA
rnacentral:lncRNA from 1 species